UCCCAGAGAAGAAACAGUCACAAGUCUUACCUCUUGUCCUAGUCCCAGAGCCUGUAAAGGAGAGCCCACUGGGACUGGCUGGGAGAGAGGAGGAAAGUUUGUUCUAAAAGGAACUGUCUGAGGGAA
rnacentral:snoRNA from 9 species